UACAGAGGGUGCGAGCGUUGUUCGGAAUUAUUGGGCGUAAAGGGCGCGUAGGCGGUGCCACAAGUCACUUGUGAAAUCUCCGGGCUUAACUCGGAGCCUGCAGGCGAAACUGUGGUGCUGGAGUGUGGGAGAGGUGCGUGGAAUUCCGGUGUAGAGGUGAAAUUCGAUAGAUAUCGGGAGGAACACCGGUGGCGAAGGCGGCGACCUGGGU
rnacentral:rRNA from 1 species